GACCUCAAAUCAGGUAAGAAUACCCGCUGAACUUAAGCAUAUCAAUAAGCGGAGGAAAAGAAAAUAACAAUGAUUCCCUCAGUAACGGCGAGCGAAGAGGGAUAAGCUCAAAUUUUAAAUCUGCUGGGUUUCACCUAACAGAGUUGUAUUUUGAAGAAACGUUUUCUGCGUCCCGGGUUAGCCUAAGUCCUUUGGGAUAAGGUAUCAUGGAGGGUGAGAAUCCCGUUCAUGGUUAAUCUUAAGGAUGCUCUACGAUACGUUUUCCAAGAGUCGAGUUGUUUGGGAUUGCAGCUCAAAAUGGGAGGUAAAUUUCUCCUAAGGCUAAAUAUUGGCGAGAGACCGAUAGCGAACAAGUACCGUGAGGGAAAGAUGAAAAGAACUUUGAAAAGAGAGUUAAACAGUACGUGAAAUUGUUGAAAGGGAAACGAUUGAAGUCAGUCAUACCAACGGGAAAUCAACCUUUUGAACUUUGUCUCGUGGGUUCGAAGAGUUUAAACGCCUUCGGGUUCGCGAGAUUGGGAUCUUCUGGUGUACUUUCUCGUACGGUUAGUCAACAUCGGUUUUGAAUGUCAUAAAAUGACUGGAGGAAUGUGGCUUCGAUCUCGUAUCGAAGUGUUAUAGCCUUUGGUAGAUGUGAUGUUUGAGACCGAGGAUUGCAACGGAUACCCUUUAAGGGCUAUUCGUCUGAUCUCUGAUACGUUGCCUUGACGUUGAAAGCUUGCUUAUGAUGUUAGGGUAUUACGGUCAAAAGGUUAGAACGGAUUAAAUUCGUUAAGGAUGUUGACGUAAUGACUUUAAACGACCCGUCUUGAAACACGGACCA
rnacentral:rRNA from 1 species